GAUGAACGCUGGCGGCGUGCUUAACACAUGCAAGUCGAACGGAAAGGCUCCUGCUUGCAGGGGUACUCGAGUGGCGAACGGGUGAGUAACACGUGGGUGAACUGCCCUGCACUUCGGGAUAAGCCUUGGAAACUGGGUCUAAUACCGGGUAGGACGAUGUGUUGGAUGCCAUUGUGUAAAGUUUUUUCGGUGUGGGAUGAGUUCGCGGCCUAUCAGCUUGUUGGUGGGGUAAUGGCCUCCCAAGGCGUAGCCGGGUAGCCGACCCGGGAGGGUGGACGGCCACAUUGCUCCUGCGAUACGCACCAGACUCCUACGGGCCGCAGCAGGGGGAAGUAUUGCACAACGGGGGCACGCCUGAUGCAGCGGUGCCGCGUUGGUGAUGACGUCUUUCGGGUUGUAAACUAAUUUCGCUGGAAACGAAGAGCAAGUGACGGUACCUGGAGAAGAAGCACCGGCUAACUACGUG
rnacentral:rRNA from 1 species